rnacentral:misc_RNA from 1 species
UCCCUUAUGGACGAUAUAGGAUCUUCAAGGGCCUUGACGCAAGAAGAACAAGCAUUAUCAAGUUCUCCAACCCCUAAUCCUGGCCCUCCGAUGCUCGCCAAUGCUUUUAGACAUCUAGCUGCAGCUACUCUAACAAUAGAUGAUUUGUCCACGACCCCAGUUCGCAUAAUGAUACGAAAUGCAUCAGUAUAUGCUGAGGCAGCAGCACCUCCACCAGAGCCUUCUAAAGCAUUUUGAAGCAUCUGUAAAGCUUCUUCUCUAACAAAGUCCUCAUUGAACUUCAGUAGUUUUGUGACAAUCGUGGUUGUUUCAAGUAAGCCUGAAGUGAUUCGUCUCCCAAAAUAGCGAUACAAUUCUCCCAAGCACUCGGCAGCACCCGCGAUUCGUUGAGGCUCG